rnacentral:lncRNA from 1 species
UGACCGACGAAAAUCCACCGACUCAAACAUAUCGCAUAACUAGAAUAACUCGUGGACUUUUUGGGUUUUGUGCUUUUUCUUAUUUUCAUAAGAUUAUAAGAAGUCACUUUUGAAAGUUCAACUUUUCCACUUUCACUUUUAUAUAUAUAUAUAUAUAUUAGUCAGGUUUCCACUUUCCACUUUCCACUUUCCAUGUGUUUAUGAAUAAUUGGUUUGUAUUUUAUUUUUUAUUGAUUUUUUCAGCUAUAUUAUAUUUUCUUUUUUAAUUUUAGAUUGUAUUUGUAUAGGAAAUUUAUUGAGUUUUAUCUUCAUUAGUACUUGAUAAAUUAAGUGUGUCUACUAUAAAUCAAUGUAUAGAUCUAAACGGAAGUACCAUGGAGAAUUAUACAAGAACAUGUGUUUUAACAAAUUAAGUAUUUAGCAUAGAUUGAUGAGUGGGUGUAAACGGAAGUGUCGUGGAGCAUCAUAAAAUAACAUGUGUUAUUAGGAUUCCUACCCAGUACCAAAUAUAGAUCUAGAUGUUAAUUUUGUAGGCCUUUUAAUAUGUUGGCCCGAAAGUAGAAACUGAUUUGUGGGUUUCGGGGGGAUUGUUGUAUUUUUUUUUGUUACAUUAUUUCUUUAUAUAUUGUCAUAAUUUAACUUUUUGUUUUAAGUUUUUUUUUUUGGUUUUGACGUAAUUUAUAUCUCGUUCUGAUCAUUUUUAUACUAUUAUAUAUUCGUUCUGGUUUUUUGUUUAAUAUUUUUUUGUAUUUUAAUAUUGAACAAUUUUAAAAUUUAACAUAUUAGUAUAAUUUGCUUUAUAUUUAGUUCAAUUUUUUAAUUAUGUUUUUAAAAAAUUUUAAUUUUCAAUUUUUAUGAAAGAUUGUGAAUUUUUUAUUUUGUUUAUUAGUUUACCAUAAGUGAUCUAUUGAAACAAAAAUAAUUAAUAUUGAAACUUUUAAAGAAAUAUUAUUUUUGUUGUUACUAUUUUUAUAUGUGUUUUUAAAAUGAGAAUUAGUAAGUUUUUUUAUUUUAUUUUUAAAUCAAUUAUAUUUUUGUUUUAUAAUAUAAAAUAUAGAGAAAUUGAUACUAAUAACCUUUUUAUGAUACCAUCUUUUAAAAAUACCCUCUUUUUUUACCAUUUUCAUUUUUGCCCUCUCUUAAAUUUUAAUGGCCAUUUUACCCUUAUUUGAAAGAAUAUUCUUUCCCAAAGGAAGGAAUAUUUCUUCCUUUGAUUUCCCGCCAAAAUUUUCCUGCCAAAAAUUUUUUUUUUCAAAAUUUUCCCGCCAAAUUUUUUUAAGGGUUUACAAGAUUUUUUAAAGAGUCUUUUAAAGGGUUUAAAAGGGUUUUUAAAGGGAUUUACAAGAGUUUGUAAAUGGUUUUUAAAAGAUUUGUAAUGGUUUUUAAAGGGUUUUAGAAGCUUACAAAGGUUUUUAAAUAGUUUUUAAAUGAUUUAAAAUGGUUUUUAAAAGUUUUUAUAAGUUUAUAACAGUUUUAAAAUGAUUUACAAGGAUUUUUAAAGGAUUUUAAAAAUUUAUAGAAGUAACUCCCUAUAUCUCUCCUUGUCAUCAUUUCUUCCCAAAAAGUUUCUCCUCCCACUUGAUUCUCUGUUCAUUUAUCUUCAUCAGACGCAGCUUCCUAUUCCUGGCUUUAGCUUCUUCAACUUCCUCGUGCCUGCCCUCUACUUCAGUCUGAAUAUCAUCCAAGAUCUUUACUCCACUGUAAGCACCCCAGAAGCCAAAGGUGGAAGCUAUCACCAAUGACCAAACACGUCCCCCAGUGCUAGCUUUUUCUUCAUCUCUGCAGAAAUCAAAUAAAUUUCAGCAACUAUAACUAGUAUAAACCCAAAAAUUGUCAAAAGAAACAAAAAAAAGGAACUUUACCCACGAAUAUUGAGUGAUACACAGGAAGAGUCUAAAGGACGAACUUUGUUAUCUGCAAAUUUUCCGGUUCAAAGAACAGAGCUGAAGAGAAUAAUUCCAACUCCAUUAAGCAAUGAUUAGAAAACUAGUAAAAAAUAUAAGGCCACAGAGAAAGAAGAAGUGUACCCACGAAAUCACAAGACGAUUCAAACGUACGGACUUUUUUUAUCUGAGAAGUUUACGGGCGAAAAGAAGAAAUGCUGCAGAGAAAAAUAACCCAAAUCCAAUCACCAAAUGAUUAGAAGAACAAGAGAAAACAUAACCACGAGAAAGAAGAAGAAGUCUUACCCAAGAAAUCACAAAAGGAGUCAAACGAACGGAACUUAUUAUCUGAGAAAUUUACCGCGUAAGAACAAAUGCUGCAGGGAAAAUCCCCAAUUCGAUUAAGAAAUGAUUAGAACUAAGAGAAAACAAAUUCACAAGAAAGAUCAAGAAGCGGUACCCAGGAGAAGCAGCGAAGAUUCAGAAGAACUGACGUUGUAUAUUUUCCGGGAAAAAAGAACAGACUGCAGAGGAAAUAGAAUCCAUAUCGAUUGAGGAAAGUUCGAACUAAUAUAAACUUGAAGAUCUUCGAAAGAAGAUACGCUAUCCAAAUGCUUGAUUCACAAGAAACGAGUUAAAAAGUACGGACUUUGAUUUCCGGGAAAACAUCGCAGAGAAAAACCCAAAAUUCGUUAAAGAAAUGAGUAGAGGAACUUAAAGAAAACAUAUGGCAUCGAAAGAAGAAGAAAAGCGUUACCUACGAAACUCUUGCGUCGCAAGGAAGCGUUCCUUCAACCUCAGCUUCUUUUCCCAACGUCGUGCUCUGGUGUCCUCGCUUGCUUCUUCGAUUCUGUACAACUCUAGAACGAAUUCAGUAUAAGAUAAUCUGAUAUUUUCAGAAGAUUGAAUUCGCAGAUGAGAAUCACGGAAACUACUCAAUCG